rnacentral:lncRNA from 1 species
CGGAGGCGUAGGUGCUGGAGGACCUGGGGUCGAAGAGCGGGCCGGCCUGGCGGUGGCACGACACGACGCACGGCGAGCACUGCAGCCACGUGAGCGACGACCCCGUGUCGACGACCAUGGCGUAGGAAGUGGCCGGCGUGCCGAGGCCCAGCUGGGUGACGUAGUUCCCCACGCCUAUGGACGCGCCCGGCGAGAGCGGCACGGAGGCCAGGGAGUCGUCGAGGUGGCCGGCGGCCUUCUUCUUGCUGCGGAGCGACGUCGGGCGGCGGGGCGGCGCGUCAUUAUUGGUGUCGAGGCGGGAGGCGAGGUGGGCAGCGCGCGCAUCGUCGUGGGUGAGGACGGUGGAGAAGGGGAGGUCGGAGGGUAGCGGCGCCGGUGAGCAGGCGCUCUGCGGGUGGUGCAGCGUCAGGUGGAGGCCGGAGCUGUUCCGGUGCGGGAAAUC